rnacentral:lncRNA from 1 species
AUGGAUUUGAGCCAUCAACAGAACAUCACCUGCCAGACCCUUCCAUCCUGUCCUGCACUUCACUCAGCAAUCAAGUCAUUUACAUCCGAAAGCUGCGUCCUUGAUCUCCGUGGCUACCAAACAGUUCAGUGCAAGGAAAUGCCUGGAAGGUGCCUGGUCUUUCCUCUGUGGACAAUCCUGCUGCCCUUGGGAAGUGCAUUUUCUAUGCACCUUUCAUACCUGGGAUCCUCUUUUAGCCUGGAGUCCUCCUCCCAUGAGAACACAACCCAGGUGCUUUUAUACUACCGAGGGAUUGCUUCUCCCUGUUCCAGUACCGAAGAUGGUAUUUGCAAGGCUGUAAACUGCACUUCCAGGCUCCCAGUGGCAGAACUGGAAAAAAACUCCACAGCUCCAUGUCAGCAGGAAGGAGAGGCCAAUCUCUCCUCUACCUCCUCCAAAACCUUCUACUUGAGGUUAGGUCAUAGGACCCCCAUUAACAUGCAUCCAGCAGUAUCAAGAGCAGACAUCUCCAGUUCAGUGACAGGUAAGAUUUUGAUUGCCACCAUAAGAAAUGAGGCAGGGGGGACCCCAA